UUCUCUGUACGGUUAAAGUGACUGGAAUUCAGCUAGAGGAGGGUUGGUGUUAUAUUGGCUGUUCCAGGUGUUCAGAGAAACUCAUCCGAGAGAAAUCUUCCUUCACAUGUGUCUCAUGCAAUGAAACAAAUGUUCUCGCUGAACUCAACAACACUGGCACAUCAGCCUUCCUUGCCUUUGAUAUGGAGGUGGCCAAACUGACGCACGUUCUAUCUUCUGAGGCAUCACAGAUUGUGGGGAUAAGUGUUAAUGCUCAGGUUGACACUGAACAUCCUCUAUCACUAGCUGAGAUUGUUGGGAAUGAAUACAUACACCUUCCAACUCAAAUUAAACGACUUCAAACAACCCAAACAACCCAAACCUUUACAAUUUCCCCCAUAUUUCCUACAAGAGAGCUUGC